GGCUGGGCCAAAGUUAGCUGAGUUAUUUCAGUUGAUUGUUCAUAGUCAGUAACAGAUCAAACUCAUUCGUCUCUGUCCCCCCUUCUCACUACUGCACUUGACUAGUCUAAA
ensembl:misc_RNA Y_RNA Y RNA